CUGUUGUAAGUCAAGAACUACCUGUACUUAUUCUUUUUUAUAUGUGUAUAUUGUUCCAGUUCCCAGGCAUUGGUGGUCCAAAGCAAAAACAGAAAAAGAAACAGUGUAACACAAAGAACAUACAAUAGUCAUUAAGGGGCCAGGAACCCCAAUAGAGCCUUUCUGAUGAUCAGACUGGAUGAAGAUAAUAUUGUGUAAGAUUCCACAAGCUCAAAAGCCUCCAGAUCAUAAUGCAAGAUGUUUGCCUGCUUACCUCACUUGGACAUGCCAAAGCAAAAGAAAUACAAGCUAUUUUACCUAGAAGAAACCAUGGGUAUUUUGCCUCACCUGUCUAAGUCACUCAGAAAAGGGCCUCCAGUAGGAGAGGAUAGACAUGGGAGAGUCUUAAAGCUUUGCUGUUCUUAUUGCCAAAGUAGGCUCAGAGCUGACUCGUAUCAGUGGUCCACUUCUGGUUUUAUAUGAUGGCUGUCUAGGUAUCUUUUCAGUUGCUUCAUCUUCUUGCAAAGUGAAGCUGCAUGUGAUGGGCAGAUGGAGAAAGGCCACCAGGUAACCUUGUCCAACGCUAUAGUUGCCUCCCUAUUUUUCUUCUUGUGCCAUAUCUGUCAUUGGAUGUUGGCGAUCCUAUUUU